rnacentral:rRNA from 1 species
GUCAGCAGUCAUAUCACCCUGGAACUCACAACUGGCAACCCACUGAAACUAAGCAGGUUUGAGCCUGGUCAGUACCUGGAUGGAGACCUCCUGGGAAAAACUAAAGUUGCUGCUGGAA